rnacentral:rRNA from 1 species
AAUCAACGCUGGCGGCGUGCCUCAGACAUGCAAGUCGAACGAUUAAACUUUCCUUCGGGAAAGAUAUAAAGUGGCGCACGGGUGAGUAACACGUAAGUAAUCUACCUUUGAGUGGGGAAUAACGUUCGGAAACGGACGCUAAUACCGCAUAAUGCAGCGGCACCUAAUGGUGACAGUUGUUAAAGGAGCAAUCCGCUUAAAGAGGAGCUUGCGGCAGAUUAGCUAGUUGGUAAGGUAACGGCUUAACCAAGGCUACGAUCUGUAACCGGUCUAAGAGGACGGUCGGUCACACUGACACUGAAUAACGGGUCAGACUCCUACGGGAGGCAGCAGUCGGGAAUUUUGGGCAAUGGGCGAAAGCCUGACCCAGCAACGCCGCGUGAAGGAUGAAGUAUUU